AACUUGUAACAAUGGGUCACUUGGUUCUGGCAUCGAUUAAGAACGCAGCGAAAUGCGAUAAGUAAUGUGAAUUGCAGAAUUCAGUGAAUCAUCGAAUCUUUGAACGCACAUUGCGCCCUUUGGUAUUCCGAGGGGCAUGCCCGUUCGAGCGUCAUCAACACCAUCAAGCCUGGCUUGGUAUUGGGCCCCGCCUGUAACACGGCCGGCUUUAAAAUUAGUGGCGGUGCCGCCUGGCUCUAAGCGUAGUAACUUUUCUCGCUAUUGUGCCCGGCGGUUGCCUGCCAACAACCCCUAAUUUAAUAGGUUUGACCUCGGAUCGGGUAGGGAUACCCGCUGAACUUAAGCAUAUCAAUAAGCGGAGGCU
rnacentral:misc_RNA from 1 species